GACGAACGCUGGCGGCGUGCUUAACACAUGCAAGUCGAACGGAAAGGCCCUGCUUUUGUGGGGUGCUCGAGUGGCGCACGGGUGAGUAACACGUGUGUAACCUGACCUUGACUUUCGGAUAACUUCAGGAAACUGGGGCUAAUACCGGAUAGGAGCUCCUGCUGCACGGUGGGGGUUGGAAAGUUUCGGCGGUUGGGGAUGGACUCGCGGGUUAUCAGCUUGUUGGUGGGGUAGUGGCUUACCAAGGCUUUGACGGGUAGCCGGCCUGAGAGGGUGACCGGCCACAUGGGGACUGAGAUACGGCCCAGACUCCUACGGGAGGCAGCAGUGGGGAGUAUUGCACAAUGGGCGCAAGGCUGAUGCAGCAACGCCGGGUUCGGGAUGACGGCCUUCGGGUUAUAAACCGCUUUCGCCUUGGACGAAGCGGGAGUGACGGUAAUGGGUAAAGAAGCACCGGCUAACUACGUG
rnacentral:rRNA from 1 species